AACAUCAGUUGACAUUUAAAUAUGUAAAUCAGACGGAAGGACGAUCAAUCACAGUGUGACAGAUAUGAUGGCGAUAUCAGAGCUAAAUGUCUCAAGAAGAGGAUCAGAGAGGGAAAACCUCAGUAGUUAAGAGUGAGCUUUGGGUAGAUACAGGUUUACAGUAUCAGAAGAAUGAUGGUUACGAGAUAAGCGUGGCAAUGGAGAUCUCAGAUCUAUCUAACGAGCGUUUGCUCGAAUGGUCAAUCAUGGAAUGAUAAAGGAGGACUUCAGUUCUAUUUAUUGGUUCAAGAACUGAGGUGAAAUUCGUGGACCGCAGGGGGACGCCCUAAAGCGAAAGCAUUUGCCAAGAAUGUCUUCAUUAAUCAAGAACGAAAGUCAGAGGUUCGAAGGCGAUUAGAUACCGCCCUAGUUCUGACCGUAAACUAUGCCAUCUAGCGAUCCGAUGGGGUAUUGUUGCCUUGUCGAGGAGCUUCCCGGAAACGAAAGUCUUUCGGUU
rnacentral:ncRNA from 1 species